rnacentral:lncRNA from 1 species
AUGGAGCUCGACUUCCCCGGUGAGGUGUUAACGCACAUCAGCGGCUACCAUGACAGCAAGCUCAUCCGGAGGCUGGAGUUCAGGACCAACCGUGACAGGACAUUGGGACCGUACGGCGCGAACACUUUGGACAACGAGCAAUGGCGGCAGUUCGAGGUGCCCAUGGAGAAAGCGGGGUCCAUUGUCGGCUUCAGCGGCCGGGGCGGCAACUACAACUACAUCGACGCCAUCAGCGUCUACAUCGCCGUGUGGAAUCCUGACAGGUUCUUCGACACCCUGCGCCAACGGGGCAUUAUCGCUUACCGGAUGGCGCCGAUUCGCCUGCAGCUCCGGGAAAUGGAGAAGCUGAGGAACGAACAAGUGGAACGCGACCACGUCGAGAGGAAUGCAGAGGAGGGACAAGAACACCUGAUCAGGAAGCUACCAUCGCACACACAGGACAAAUCACCCGUCGAGAAGCUUGUAAAGGAGCAGCAAGAACUCACUCUUAAAGUGAAAGAGCUGGAGGAAAUACACAAGGAGACGAAACAGAAAGUACAUGACCUACAGAAGCAGGUAGACCAGAAAAAAGAACGCUUACGGGAGCUAGAAUCAAGUAUAAUGCCGCGUGAAGUGUACAAGCGCCAGUACCAGGAAGAAAACGAGACCCUGCGGAGCAUGGAAGAGGACCUAAAACAACUCGAACGGCGAGAACAGACGAUGCAGCAGCAAUUAGGGCAGAAAAUGCUGCAAGAAUUCAGACAUUUGGAGGACCAGAUUUUGGAAACAAAAAGGUACGAGGAAGACAUAAAGCAGAAACGAGCGCUGAUAGAACGAGAACAGCUGGACUUGCUGAAUGAACCUGAGAUGAUAAGGAAGCUCAAAGAGCAGCAACAAGAAGUCGCAAGGCAGUUAAAGAAGCUGGAGGAGCAGAGGGAACAAUCGCGAAGACUCGAGCUUGAAAAAAUACUGAAGAAUAUUAAGGAACAGAUGAAAAACAAGAAAAAAAAGAAAGGAUUCAUCCGGCGCAUUUUUGGGAUUAAGUAGGACAGUUAUC